rnacentral:misc_RNA from 1 species
CAACUUCCACCUGGCUUACCUCCUCAGUUAUGCGUCAUGACUUGUAUCGUCUUGAGCGUAUUGUGGGUUUCCUGUGUUGCAUACCUUUCUAAUGGUAUCGUGUUGAUUGAUCGAAGUCCCUUUUCAUCUUGUGUUGCUUUUUGCGACGCAUGAUGAACCUCGAGGCGGUCUCUAUGUUCCACCACGUUGAUGCUAGCGUUUUGAUGUUGUGGCCCAUUGAGUGUUGCUUGGUUUCGUGGAUACAGAACAUGAUUUGGGCAUAGGGUUACUUGUGACUCUUGUUUUGUCCUUUAUCUGUGUUCUUUAUAACGACGGUUCAUGCGCGCCUAGGCUCGUACCUGCGCGAUGUUCUUUGUCGAAGAGGAAUGCUACCUGGUUGAUCCUGCCAGUAGUCAUAUGCUUGUCUCAAAGAUUAAGCCAUGCAUGUGUAAGUA